AUAACCAUACUCUAAAUCAUGAGAAAAAUUGAUGACCUGGUUUAUUUUUCUCUUGCCCUCUCUUAAACCAGCAUGUAGCCAAAAUCUAUUGAUUUUCCUAAUGGCCAAAUAGAAGAGAUCUUAGCGAAAUAAAAUAAAUCAUCUAAGAAACACAGAAAGAAUAAUGAAAAACUGCUACAGAAAUCACAGACUGUGCACUUAUUGAGGAGGACUCCGACAUUCAACAUGUGCUAAAUGAAUGUUAGCAAUGUUCACACCAAGCUAAAAUGAAUGAUUAUAGCAUGAUUAUCUGCUGCAUGGGCAAAAGCGGAAUUACCACAUAGGAUCUUCAAUCCAUUUGAGAUAUAGGGAUAUUCCAGAUUUUGUAGCAAGACCACAACCUGUAAACUGAAUCUUGGCUGUUAAUCAAGAUGAUAAUGUUGGAUUGCACUGAAAUAUGCGGAAAAAGCCCACAAAAUUUUUCUUCUAAUUUUAAAUGUUUGGAGCCACAGAAACACAUUUUUUAUCCAUGUGACUUUAUAGUUGUAUAAUCUGUCAAUAUUGGUAAACUAAUUUUACAUUUUAA